AGACAGCAGCAGCCGCGGUAAUACAGAGGGUGCGAGCGUUAAUCGGAUUUACUGGGCGUAAAGCGUGCGUAGGCGGCUUUUUAAGUCGGAUGUGAAAUCCCUGAGCUUAACUUAGGAAUUGCAUUCGAUACUGGGAAGCUAGAGUAUGGGAGAGGAUGGUAGAAUUCCAGGUGUAGCGGUGAAAUGCGUAGAGAUCUGGAGGAAUACCGGUGGCGAAGGCGGCCCCCUGGACAAAGACUGACGCUCAGGUGCGAAAGCGUGGGGAGCAAACAGGAUUAGAUACCCCUGUAGUCCCUGUCUCUUAUAC
rnacentral:rRNA from 1 species